rnacentral:rRNA from 1 species
GUUACUCGGAAUCACUGGGCGUAAAGGGCGCGUAGGCGGAUUAUCAAGUCUCUUGUGAAAUCUAAUGGCUUAACCAUUAAACUGCUUGGGAAACUGAUAGUCUAGAGUGAGGAGAGGCAGAUGGAAUUGGUGGUGUAGGGGUAAAAUCCGUAGAUAUCACCAAGAAUACCCAUUGCGAAGGCGAUCUGCUGGAACUCAACUGACGCUAAGGCGCGAAAGCGUGGGGAGCAAACAGGAUUAGAUACCCUGGUAGUCCACGCCCUAAACGAUGUACACUAGUUGUUGGGAUGCUAGUCAUCUCAGUAAUGCAGCUAACGCAUUAAGUGUACCGCCUGGGGAGUACGGUCGCAAGAUUAAAACUCAAAGGAAUAGACGGGGACCCGCACAAGCGGUGGAGCAUGUGGUUUAAUUCGAAGAUACGCGAAGAACCUUACCUGGGCUUGAUAUCCUAAGAACCUUAUAGAGAUAUGAGGGUGCUAGCUUGCUAGAACUUAGAGACAGGUGCUGCACGGCUGUCGUCAGCUCGUGUCGUGAGAUGUUGGGUUAAGUCCCGCAACGAGCGCAACCCACGUAUUUAGUUGCUAACGGUUCGGCCGAGCACUCUAAAUAGACUGCCUUCGUAAGGAGGAGGAAGGUGUGGACGACGUCAAGUCAUCAUGGCCCUUAUGCCCAGGGCGACACACGUGCUACAAUGGCAUAUACAAUGAGACGCAAUACCGCGAGGUGGAGCAAAUCUAUAAAAUAUGUCCCAGUUCGGAUUGUUCUCUGCAACUCGAGAGCAUGAAGCCGGAAUCGCUAGUAAUCGUAGAUCAGCCAUGCUACGGUGAAUACGUUCCCGGGUCUUGUACUCACCGCCCGUCACACCAUGGGAGUUGAUUUCACUCGAAGCCGGAAUACUAA